CGCGGGGUGGAGCAGUCUGGUAGCUCGUCGGGCUCAUAACCCGAAGGUCGUAGGUUCAAAUCCUACCCCCGCCACCA
rnacentral:tRNA from 4 species